GUUGAUGAGAGCUCAGGAGGAUUUGGUUUCACAAGGAAGAAUGAGAUUAUAAAUGGGAAGGCAACUGUAAUUGGGUUCUUGCUGUUGUUGGAUUUUGAGCUAUUGACUAGUAAAGGACUUGGCAUUUGGUUUAUCACUUUCAGCACUGCUUGGGGAUAAUAUCUACAACUUUGGCGAGCUGCUGGCACAUCCUAUUAGUUAAUUUAACAGAUGGUCUUGAAGGGCUGGCUGGGCGGACUGUUGCCUUGGCAUUUGUUGGAAUGUCAAUUGCAGUGCUUCCAAUAUGUCCUGUGUUGGACACAAGAGAGAGGUCAUUCUUGAAAAACAACUGGUACAGAUUACAGGAAAAGAAAGAGCUGAUCUUAAGGUGAAGAGAGCAGUGAUAAUUAUAGCUAUUCUGAUUGGAUUAACUUGUGGGAUGAUUUUAAUUGGCUUUUACAUUUGCAAGUGGAGAGCAUUUUAUGGUAAGAGUCUCUACCCUUACUUCAUUCAUCUAUUAAUGUAAUAUUUUAGCUGAGUAAUAUUUUGACCUUGCAAAUCCAAGAAGUAUAUGGUCUAUAAAGAAAUUGACAAGUUUUUAUUCUAACAAAGUAACAAUUGCCAUUGAGGGUUAGCCAACAUUCAUGGCAUAACAUUAAAAUUCAUUUGAAACCAAA